UACGAGGGGGGCGAGCGUUGUUCGGAAUUAUUGGGCGUAAAGGGUGCGUAGGCGGUUUGGUAAGUCUUGUGUGAAAUCUCCAGGCUCAACUUGGAGUCUGCACGAGAAACUGCCGGGCUUGAGUGUGGGAGAGGUGAGUGGAAUUCCCGGUGUAGCGGUGAAAUGCGUAGAUAUCAGGAGGAACACCUGUGGCGAAAGCGGCUCACUGGACCAUAACUGACGCUGAUGCACGAAAGCUAGGGGAGCAAACAGG
rnacentral:rRNA from 1 species